UACGACUACAUAUCAGGCAUAUCAAUAAGCGGAGGAAAAGAAACUAACAAGGAUUCCCCUAGUAACGGCGAGUGAAGCGGGAAGAGCUCAAAUUUGAAAUCUUAAAGGGUUUCCCUUUACGAAUUGUAGUUUAAAGAAGUGUUUUCUGUUGGAGUUUCGGUAAAAGUUCUUUGGAAUAGGACAUCAUAGAGGGUGAGAAUCCCGUAUUUGACCGUUACUUUCCAGCUGUGUGAUACACUUUCAAAGAGUCGGAUUGUUUGGGAAUGCAGUCCAAGAUGGGUGGUAAAUUUCAUCUAAAGCUAAAUAUUGGCGAGAGACCGAUAGCGAACAAGUACCGUGAGGGAAAGAUGAAAAGAACUUUGAAAAGAGAGUUAAACAGUACGUGAAAUUGUCAAAAGGGAAGCGUUUGACACCAGUGUUGUUUAGUUGAAAAUCAAUUCAAUAGUUUUUGAUUCUAAGUAGUAUUGACUUCAUCAGCUUGCUGCUUUCUUCUCAGAAAUUAUUGAAUGCACUUUUCAGUUAACAAGUCAACAUCAAUUUCUUUUGUUGUAAAAGGGUAAGAGGAAGGUGGCUUGCGCUUCGGCUCAAGUGUUUAUAGCCUUUUAUCUCUGCAAUCGGAGAGAUUGAGGUCUGCAGCGUAGAUCCUUCGGGGUUAGAUACAUUGGUGCUAAGCUAUAGCCUUGUAUAGACAACUUGUUGACUAUGCUCAGUCAUGUAGCUUACUCGCUGAUGCUAUUUUACCUACGCUUAGGAUGUUGAACGCGCACAGAGUCUC
rnacentral:rRNA from 1 species